rnacentral:rRNA from 1 species
UGUCCAGACUCCUACGGGAGGCAGCAGUGGGGAAUAUUGCACAAUGGGGGAAACCCUGAUGCAGCGACGCCGCGUGAGUGAGGAAGUAUUUCGGUAUGUAAAGCUCUAUCAGCAGGGAAGAAAAUGACGGUACCUGACUAAGAAGCCCCGGCUAACUACGUGCCAGCAGCCGCGGUAAUACGUAGGGGGCAAGCGUUAUCCGGAUUUACUGGGUGUAAAGGGAGCGUAGACGGACUUGCAAGUCUGAUGUGAACAUCCGGGGCCCAACCCCGGAACUGCAUUGGAAACUGUAUAUCUAGAGUGUCGGAGAGGCAAGUGGAAUUCCUGGUGUAGCGGUGAAAUGCGUAGAUAUCAGGAGGAACAUCAGUGGCGAAGGCGACUAUCUGGCACAUAACUGACGCUGAGGAGCGAAAGCGUGGGUAGCAAACAGGAUUAGAUACCCUCGUAGAA